rnacentral:tRNA from 1 species
CCCACUUUAGCUCAGUUGGUAGAGCAUGGCGCUUGCAACGCCAGGGUUGUGGGUUCGAUUCCCACGGGGGGCC